UUUCCUUUUUGGCUUAAAUUUAGCAAAAAUUGGAUCAAUACAGAGAUGUUUGAAUGGAGAAAGGAUGACACGCUAAUCCGUGAAGUGCUCCAUAUUUUU
ensembl:snRNA U6 U6 spliceosomal RNA